CAGUAAAGAAGGGAGAGGGGACUGUGGUUUAAUGGAGAAGGAAACAAGAAGAGUUGGAUUUAAGUCAAGAUGAAAAAAAUAUACUGAAGUGGGUUCCUGAAGAUUUAACAAAAUGCCUGAUCUCCAGUAGAAAUGAAUUAGGGACCUGAGUGUUUAUGCUUCCUCACCUGUGUUGCUAAAGUUGAGUAACACUGCUGUGCAUUGUUGGGAUCCUCUCAAAUCAGAAGCAUCUGUCCGGAAGGAUGAGGUACGAUGGAUUAUAAAACACAAGGGCAGCCAAUGCCUUUCCCGUCAUGGGACUGAUUGGUGGCACUGGCCAUUCCUACAUGCCAAGAAGGAAAGACCCAAGGUUAAAUGAGGUUGAAAAUCGCUCCUGUGGGUCCCUGCCAGAGUGAACGGACAGCCAACAUCUCAGCCCAUGGGUAAAGUUCUUUAAUUUCAAACUGACUGAAAAUUAGAAACAUUAAUUAAGGAAGUAUAUUUACCAGGAAUGCCCUGCCUUUCAGAAGUACCAGGAGCUUCCCCUAGAUAUAACCUGGUGAAAGCAUCGUGACUUCUGCCUUGGAUGAUGGGUUGAGAGGAGGC
rnacentral:lncRNA from 1 species